rnacentral:ncRNA from 1 species
AACGAGCGGGCCGCGACAGGUUCCCCGAAAGGGGAUUGAAAGGGAAUGGGGUGCGAAACCCCUGCUGCCCCUGCAACUGUAAGCGGAGAGCCAUCGGGCCAUAUGCCAUUGGGACCAUCGGUCCUGAGAAGGCGGCCCGGACCGGCGUCGACCCGCGAGCCAGGAGACCUGCCCGUCGCCGUCGUCUUUC